rnacentral:rRNA from 1 species
ACUCCUACGGGAGGCAGCAGUGGGGAAUAUUGCACAAUGGGCGCAAGCCUGAUGCAGCCAUGCCGCGUGUGUGAAGAAGGCCUUCGGGUUGUAAAGCACUUUCAGUUGUGAGGAAGGUGGUGUCGUUAAUAGCGGCAUCAUUUGACGUUAGCAACAGAAGAAGCACCGGCUAACUCCGUGCCAGCAGCCGCGGUAAUACGGAGGGGUGCGAGCGUUAAUCGGAAUUACUGGGGCGUAAAGCGCAUGCAGGUGGUUUGUUAAGUCAGAUGUGAAAGCCCGGGGCUCAACCUCGGAACUGCAUUUGAAACUGGCAGACUAGAGUACUGUAGAGGGGGUAGAAUUUCAGGUGUAGCGGUGAAAUGCGUAGAGAUCUGAAGGAAUACCGGUGGCGAAGGCGGCCCCCUGGGACAGAUACUGACACUCAGAUGCGAAAGCGUGGGGAGCAAACAGGAUUAGAUACCCUGGUAGCAC